GUUUUUAUAGUUUAAUUAAAACAUUGGUCUUGUAAACCAAAAUUAAAUAUUUUAUUUUAAAAAUU
rnacentral:tRNA from 1 species